GGCUGAGACACAUGUGUGUCGUCAGUCUGUUGUCUUCCACGUGACGAUUUAUGAAUGUUAAGAAGGCUGAUUGGAGACUCACUAUGAUUGUUUUCACCAGGUACUGUGUAUUAUUUUGUCGUGUGUUAAUGUGUUAGUCAGUCUGUUGUCUUCCACGUGACGAUUUAUGAAUGUUAAGAAGGCUGAUUGGAGACUCACUAUGAUUGUUUUCACCAGAAUAAACCAUGUUUGAGUCGGAAGAA